rnacentral:lncRNA from 10 species
AUCGCAGCCGGAGCGCAGGCCCUGCCCACGGGCCCCUUAGCUGCCUCUGGGCGGCAUGUCUGCCGAGGUUCUUCUCUCUAGCUGCGCCGCGCCUUCAGGCUCGCUUCCCCAGGCUGUCUGGUGGGCGGAAUCCGCGCGUCGGUGUUCCUGACCCUCGUGGGUUCCAGUGGAACCCUCCGAAACCCAAAAGGCGCCGCCUCUUAAUGCAAACUGUAGUCACCGACUCGUCCAGUCUGUUGGUAUUCGCGUCGUCCUUUGUGCUGGGCAAAGUAACCGAGAAGUAACGGAGAGCGCGCAUUUUCUACACCUAGAGCUCCCCGAGGGAGCCUGGGCCAGCAAGUCUUUCCAUUCUUGAGAUGCCUUUUCUCCUGGAUUGACAAGUGUUUUAUCCAUUGGUGUCUUAACCCGGGCGAACUCUUUCCAAAUUCCCAUGCCAAACGCAGUUAACAAAUCGAUGAUUUCUAAAUAAGUUUGUACCCUGCACCUAAACCAACGCCAUUUAUAUAACUAAAAUAAAUUGCGUAUUUAAAUGCAUGUCCUGGACGCUUUAUUCACUUCACAGGAUUACCCAUAGGCAAGUAGGUUUAUCGUGUGACUUCAGGGCACCAGAAAACACUUUCUGUUCCAAAAUGCCUCGUUCCAAAAAGGGCGGGAACUUAACACGGGAAUUUACCAUUCUUACUUACCCUUAGUACAAGAAAUUUAUCAGAACUUUUUCUUGAAGCAGUUUUGAUGGGCGAGGAGAUUAAGAGAGCAAAGUGCAGGGAAAAGGGAUUGAGGGGUCAUUUAAGACUAACUUUCUUGGUUCAUAAUUUAAUUAGGCCCUGUACAAAUUAUUCUUGAAAUAAAUCUUAAUAAACGUUGAUAAAUUUGGAAGAUAAAUGGAAUGUGACUAAUUUCACUCCGUUUAAGAAUAUGUAGUGAUUGAAAACUAAGCUAACCUAAGUUAAAUGAAUAGAUGAGAAUGAAUUAUAACAGUUCUCUGUGUUUUAUAAUGUUUUACAAUUUAGGUUAAUUGAGUAGAUUACCUAUUUCGAUAAUUUCUAUUUCCUUAGAAAAAUAUCUUUUUAAAAAUUGUUUAUUGUCUGCAUUUAUUGUGUAUACAACAUGAUCGUUUGAAGUAAUGUAUACAUUGUUACAUUACCUCACAGAGUUACCUUUUUUUUUGAGAGUCUUGCUCUGUCACCCAGGCUAGAGUGCAGUGGCAUGAUCUCGGCUCACUGGAAUUUCUGCUUCUCAGGUUCAAGAGAUUCUCCUGUCUCAGCCUCCCGAGUAGCUGGGAUGACGGGCGCGUGCCACCACGCCCAGCUAAUUUUUAGUAGAAAGGGGAUUUCGCCAUGUUGGCCAGGCUGGUCUCGAAUUCCUGACCUCAGGUGAUGCGCUCGCCUGGGCCCCCCAAAGUGCUGGGAUUACAGGCGUGACUCACCGCGCCGGCUGAGUUAGCAUUUUUUUUUUCUUUUUUGAGACAGAGUUUCGCUCUUGUUGCCCAGGCUGGAAGGCAAUGGCGUGAUCUCGGCUCACUGCAACCUCCGCCCCCACCUCCCACCCU